ACCUGCCCUAUGAAUAAUUUGUUUUUAAAUGGCUGCGGUAUCCUGACCGUGCAAAGGUAGCAUAAUAAUUAGUUUCUUAAUUGGGAACUGGAAUGAAUGGUUGGACGAGAAAAAGACUGUCUCAAUUUAAUUUAAAUUAGAAUUUUAUUUUUAAGUAAGAAAGCUUAAAUAUUCUUAAAAGACGAGAAGACCCUAUAGAGUUUUAUAUAAAUUAUUAUAAUUGAAAGUUAAAGUAUUAUAGAUUUGGUUAUAAUAGUUUAUAUUUGGUUGGGGCGAUUAAAAAAUUUAAUGAACUUUUUUUAGAUAAUUCCAUUGAUUUAUGAGUAAGUGAUCCAUAUUUUAUGAUUAUAAGAUU
rnacentral:rRNA from 1 species